UGGGCAACUCCGUCAUUUCCAGUGUUCCGCAAUCCGCAUAGCCUCUAGGCUCUACCACCGUCAUGUCUGGGCGGACAAAAACGCGGUGAGGGACUUGAAAGACAGGAGCACACCACGCAAGCCUUGCUUUCUCCGCCGCCACCCUCUUUGGAACAAUCUUUCUUUUUCUUCCACAACUCCCUGCAAUUGCAUUCCCUAUUUUUUCCAAACUUUUCUACUUUCGCUCUAAAUUUGCUCUGGAAAUCUCUCUAUUGUUUAGUUAAUUUUCAAUAGAGAUAUAGGUUCUGUACAUCGAGGUGAUCUUCGGAGGAAAUGUCGGCCAUAUCAAACUUUACGGCUGGCCGGCACGCCUUGACCGGAGCUGCAUUGCGAGAGAGCUUGCCGAUAGUUGGUUCGGAGAAGCACAGUAGGUUGAAAAUGAGAAUUUCAAGAUCUUUGGACAAGGCAGCUCUUCGCCAUUCUAAUGGUUCAAGUAUCCGGAUGACAUUGGUAGAUGAGAGACUUGCACACAGAAAAGUUGUGAUGCCAUCUGAAGUUUUGGCAUAUGAACUCGUUCAAGGAGCCAAAGUGAGAUGGAGUUAUAUCAUGGAUAAAUCCUUGCCUGAACCACCUACUGCAGUCCUUUUGCACGGUAUUUUGGGCAGCAGGAAAAAUUGGGGAAGCUUUGCUCGGAGAUUAGCCAAAGAAUUUCCAAAAUGGCAGUUUCUCUUGGUAGACUUGUGGUGCCAUGGUGAUUCGACAUCAAUCAAGAAGAAGGGGCCUCAUACUGUAGCUUCAGCUGCCCUGGAUGUCUUAAAACUACUUGGGCAUCUCAGGCUCACUCCCAGAGUUGUCGUUGGUCACAGUUUUGGAGGAAAAGUUGCUUUGAGCAUGGUUGAUCAGGUUGCUAAACCACUUGCACGGCCUGUCAGAGUUUGGGUUCUGGAUGCAACUCCAGGAAAAGUAAGAGCUGGUGGAGAUGGAGAUGAUCACCCAGCUGAACUAAUUACUUUUCUAAGUGCACUGCCAAAAGAGGUCUCUUCAAAACGGGAUGUUGCGGAGGCUCUUACUAAGCAGGGUUUUUCCAAAGAUGUGGCACAGUGGGUGGUAACUAACCUCCGACAGACCAACCCUUCUGGUACAUCCCCAGCAAGCUUCUCGUGGGUGUUUGAUCUUAAGGGAAUUGCUGAGAUGUAUCAAUCAUAUGAAGAAACAAAUAUGUGGAAAAUAGUGGAAGAUGUACCCCGAGGUGUACAUGUCAGCUUCUUGAAGGCAGAAAGGAGUUUGCAUCGGUGGGCACUUGAGGAUAUUCGGAGGAUUCAUUCUGCCGAGGAGCAAGCUUCCAAGGAGGGAGGUGGAGUAGAGAUGCAUGUCUUAGAAGAUGCCGGGCACUGGCAUUUCUAUAACAAACAAAAUUGAAACUGAGUCUAGAUCUGCCUCACCUCUGCAAUAUCAAUUUGACUUGCACAAAUUGGUAACAAGAAGAGAGAAAACUAACAAGCCACUGACCACUGUUGAUGUUAUUGCCCUGGUGCACGCGGAUAACCCAGACGGAUUAUUCAAGAUUCUUUCAUUCUCGUUCCAUGGAUUUUAAAGUUGGAAUACAUUGACAUUGAUGGUCCUGCAGAUUAGGAAAAUUACCUGAGCCCGCAAACAUCAUUGACCUCUUUUUCCAGUGUGGUAAGUGUAUCAUUUUUUACAAAUUUUGUAUGAGGGCAAUGUGUAAAACCAAUAUUCAUUCAGGCAUGAGAUUUGUACAUUUAUUUUUUUUUCUAGAAAUUGUAAAUCGAAUAAGAUGUAUUCUAAGAGUUAUGAUCAUUUAUUUCAU